rnacentral:tRNA from 1 species
GGAGUGUGGCUUAGUGGUAGACUAUGUGCUUAUUAUGCACUAGGCCUCGAGUUCAAUCCUCGGCACCA